CAAAGAAAUACCUAUCUGUAUCAACCUAUAGUCAUCGAUCUAUUUCGAUCUUUGUGCGCGCGGGCAUCAGUGAACGGCGCUUCGGCGGCACAGAGCGAGCCGAAGUUUUCGCCGAGCUGUAUACAGCAAGAGGUGCACAAUAUGCAUCCCACGGCACAAAAGGGGCAGAGCUGUUUGCGAACGGAAGAGGAGUUUCGAUAUUCAAAGUACACACUUCACGAUCGCACAGGCUUUCAACGUCGAACUUGGAAGUGGACUCGCGAAAGAUACGGUGUAUGUCCAUGUAUCGGCGUCUCUAUUUGUAUUCGCAUAUUCGUAUAUACACGUCAGUGUACAGCCGAGAAAGUUUGUUUUGGAGGAGCUACAGCAAUCAGGCUCGCCGUAAAAGCGAAUGCAUUGGCUGCAUCCUCGACAAAAAAUCAGACAAUUUCUUGCCAGAGACGACUGUGGAGAAGCAGGAGCCGCCCUAUCGUACAGGCGUCUUGUUUCGGGUCGUCGUCCUUGUCGAAAUCUACAAAGAGACUUUCAAGAAUAGCUUUCCUGUCGUCCUCUUCCGUUUCCGCCCACUCCUCUUUUCUGUCCUCUGUCGGAUUCUCUUCUCUUUCCUUACUCCCUUCUGGUUCCCCUGUCGCCCUCUCGUCCGAAUCUGUUUGGUCCCGUUCCCUGUCCUCUCUUUUGUCUCUCCCGUCUCGGCUUUGUUCGGAGAGAAAGGGUUCCUUUGCUACUCCCGUCUGUCCAAAAGUUUCGUCGGUGUCAACCGAAAGAGAGAGGCUGUGCAAAUCGCGGGGAUUCUUAUCUGAUGCGCCCUCCUCUCUGCGUUCUCGCGUCUCUCUUUCCCUCCCGUCGUCUCCCCUUUGCACUUCGCCUCCCUCUACGCACGGCACGUCUCCUGCUUCAUCAUCCGAAUCAACAACAACGGUCACCCGCCUUCCACUCCUUUCUCCCCUAUCGUCUCCUGCCCCGAGUUCUGCCUGGUCCUCUUGUCGGGAUCUGUUUUCGUUCCUGUUCCUGCUGUUUUCGUCCAGGCCGCAGGACGACAGCUCCGGGCUCCGGGAAAUCUCUUGCGCCUGUCUAUGCUUGUGGAAAAAGUGGGAAAACGACUUACGAGCACCAUCUUCUCGGGCAAUUCGAAGAAGCGAACAGCACACAGGCACAAUAGAAAAAACAGGUGUUGCUUCCAUCCAGAGAAAGAGACUGACCCUCAGCUACCUCCAACCCGUCGACCUCGACCUGCCUACUCACCGUAUCUACAGAUGCCUACCUAUAUCACUCAAGUCCUUACAUACAAACAUACAUAUACACAUCCACGCUCCUUCCUCUCUCUCUCCAAAUAUCUAGAUACCUGUCGUAAGGGAACACAAAUAUCGACACUUCAAUAUACAUUUAUAUAUAUUUACAUAUAUGUACAUAUGUAAGUAUGUAUGUAUACCCCUCGAGGAGUCAAGAAACGUUUUCAAACGAGCGGGAAGGACAGGUGUCCAGGACGACUUCGAUUUUCUCACCAUCGGACAUCCAAAGUUCUCGACGUUUCUUUCGGAUAACGACGUGAGCCGUCCAAGUGGAGCUGCACAUAGGUUGUUUUUGAUUCUUAAGACCGUGAUCUGCUUCGCUGGCUGUCUGCAAGAGGCGAGAUGAAGACUGACAUGGUUCUGCAUGCUGUGGACCCUUUUCUUUCGCCUCCAGAGAGACCCGACUCGCUGCAUUUUCUGGACAGUCUUCUUCCUUUCUCGCCUUCGUCUGUUCCGUUGCGAGACGGUUGGGGUUUUCGUCCACCGCAACCGAAUCGGAGGCGUUUGCUCGUUGUCCCUCCUUGCCCGAGAGGGGACGAGUGCCGGUAGGCUCACGGGCCCCCUGGCGACUUGUUCCCGCAGGAAGUGAAGCCCCGACCUCCUCUUUGAAAUACAGUCGAUGCUGCAGGCCGUCUAAAGCGUCAACUGCUCGCGCUCUCCAGUAGAAUAAAUGAACGCCUCCUGUUUCGCGAGGGGUAUGCGCGGCUGAAGCGGGGAGCAGACUGGACAUUCGCUCAGCGCCGCACGAGAUGUCGCCGCUUUCCUCCGGAGGAGUGUCUAGGAGGCGAGAGGGGAGGGAGAAUACACAGACACCAGAAACACACGACCGUUCCAGGAAAGAGGAGAGAGGAGAGGCAAGAGAACCCAGAAAGCAACUACAGGGGAAAUAAUGGCUAGGUCCUGGAACGGGAGAUUAGAGAGCGUCGCACAGUGCCUACAUGUAUGGAAACAUACAUGGGGGGAAGUUUGCAGUCAAAUCUACGCGUAUGUAAGGGCUUACAUGGGCGUGUAUAGGCGCGUCUGGUUUAAAACGUAUACGUGUACAUAAGAUAUAGAAGUCCAUGGCGUCCGUCUUCCCCACUCAGACCUCAAAGGAUUCGCAGACGCCUCUGCGGCUCUGUGUUUUCUUCCGAUGUUUAUCGUUUACGAAUGGCGACACGAAGGUGCGCGAGAGUGUGUUGUGUGGUUCGCACGCGUAGCAGAUGGCAAAGUCUAUCUACUUUCUCUGCGUCAGUUCAAACUGAAAUCCCUCCCCUUCCAGUUCUCCCGCGAAUCGUAAUCCCCCCCAGACCUACGAAAAUCGCGUUCAUUUUGGCGGGCGGGUGACUUCGGUGUUGCCUCUGAUGUCGACGAUUCUCCACAUGACCGGCGUCAUGUCGCAGCGACGCUGCAUUCCCUGUAUGAACGAUUAUCUCGGCGAUGCCGGAGUUCGUGGCAUCUGGGGGAGAAUCGAGUGAAGCUUCUGAGGUCUUGGAAGUUUCCUGCUCGGGUUCCGCCGACGACUCUGACGAGACACUCCGAGCGAUGUGAUGAAAUUCCGGCUCAGUCACCUCGAGAAAUCCGCCAUCUCUCGGAGCCGGUCUGGUCUCUCCUCUCUCAAGACUCCCCAGACUGACCCUCGCCGCGCUCAGGUCUCGUGAGGCGGCUGUCGCCUCUUCUCCUGCGAAGCGAAUCGGAACAGCCUGGCUGGCAGCCGCUUCGCCACGGGCGAGUACCUCUCCGGGAGUCCUAGAGAGCUUCAGAGGAGUCGUGACCCUCUUCGGGUCGUGGCGUCGCUUCUCUGCGCUGUCUUGGGAGUUUUGCCUCUCUAGGAGAGGCGGAAGGCGCGCGUCAGAGCCGUCCAGCUGAUCCUCUUUUGGAUCUUCUCCGUUCCAUUCAAAGGCUGCGCUGCUUCCACUGGCGACGAACUCUCCCGCGCCGGCGUCUUCUUUUGCGGCUGCCAAAGCGUCGGCUUGGCCAGCUUCAACGGCGCUGCGUUUGCCGAGAACAUGAUCCUGCCCAAUCGACUUAUUCUCGUCUUGCCGAAUGGGUUCCGCGGUUUCGAGGGGCUCUCGGCGCUCCAAGGGGGGCUGCGCGUCCUCGGCCGAUCCUGUGUCGACUUUGCAAUCUUUUAAAGAGUUGGCCGACCCGAGAAGGCCCGAUUUCAGAACAGGCAGAACAAGGUGAAGGCGGUGGCUUUCGCAAAAGAACUGAGCGCGACCCUGGGCGAAGUCGACUGCAUGAGGCAGAGGCACGGUAUGCUGGAGCGAGAGAACGCAAAACAGGGGGAAGGGAUCACACGGAUGACGCGCGCGCGGUGCGCCGAGCAGGCGCGUCCUGGAUUCAAGGACGGCAAAGUAGGCGACAAAGCUUUGUGAAGCAAGGAGAGAUGUGAGAAUGCGAGAUGUGAGAAUGCCGACACAAGCACCGUUACAAAAAAACGUAUGACCUCGAAAGCACAAAGCGCUCUUCCCUGUUCCAGGGUAGAUGUACUAAAAAGGUGCCGUAACCCUCGAGUCGUUCCUCCGUAGAGUGCCAGGAAGCAGCCUUGCCAGAGAUAGUCAGAGACACACGGGAAGCGAGUCUCGCGGCGUGGCGGAAAACGGUUAGAAUCCAACACUACUUCGCAAACGUUCCCCUCUUAAAAGGAACAGAGAGAGUGAAGGCGCACGUAAGGGGCGACCAAAACAUCUGAAGCGAAAAACUUGGAGCACGAGAAACUCGGGAAAACCAGCUUCUGGAGGGGAAAUGCAGUGGCUGGGGAGUUCGGGGGAACGAGAACGCGAGAGAUCAGCAAAGCCUCAAUGAUGGAAGUGUAAACAAACUCGAAAAGGUGUCGAGAGAAAACCGCAAGACUCUAGCGAACUAGGAACGACGCCAGGUCUUACGGGGGCAUAGGGAUCGCCUUUCCGAGCAAUGGUUAGCACCUUGUUAUUCUCGGAAAUAGCGACGUCGAUGUCCGUACUCGAAAGCUGAGGCACAAGGAAGAAGAAACAGACGAAACGGACACACACACGCACACACACGUUUUGCUCCUUGUCGCCUAUACACUUCCGCUACGAAAGUCCUGGCCUUCCCACCAAAGCACGAUCUGUGCCUGACCAUGCGCCUUCUUCAACAGUACGGCUACUCAGAAACAGGUGUACGCACACGCAUACAGGUAUCCAUAAAGAAAUAUACUAAAACGUAAAUAUUCAUUUACAAGUACGUGAGCACUAUAUAUAUAUAUAUAUAUAUAUAUAUGGAUCUUUGUGGAUGUGCAUCGUCACCGCUGAUGCUGUAUUUGCCUGCACUUGCUUCUCUGAUUUAAGUGGAUUCACAGCUCUCUGUUAUCUGGUUCCGCAUGUAAGCGAGAAGACGUUUCCGCGUUUCUGGUUCUCUUUGUGUAAGCAAGCUGAGAAUGGCCAGAGUCUCGUCUCCUCUCCCAGCUCCUCUCUUGGCACCUCCCGACUUUCGCGAACACUUCUUUCGAGUCUGGCGCUGCUCCAGUGCUUUCGAUCUUUACUGCCUUUGUGUAUCGAUCCAAGUUCUAUUUUGCCUUAGCCGAGCACAACGAGCAGGGAGUUGAGCAAAACAGAGCGCAGACCUAACGCUAUUUCCCCGCUGUUCGGCGAGAACUGCGCUCACUACUGAAGCUCCGAGGUGAAUUUCGACGCGUAGGUUCUCAGGGACGGGCUUUUCCAUAGGCAGCUGGCAAGCGACACAGCACAGCAGGAGGCAUCGCGUAAGACCACUUUUUGCGGUGAACACACCAGCCUUGAGAAGAGAAAGGAACGCAUGGACGCCGCUCCAAAUCUAUCCCUCACUGAAAAUUGGAACACCUUCAAACCCACGUGUGUUCAAAAUCCUCGUCUUCCGUACACACAAACGUAGAGAGGAGCUGCAAAAUCGGGCGCUGCGUCUGCCCUUGCUUCCUGGGGGGAGGGGGUGGCUUAGAAACAGGCCUAUCUGCCAAGACAGCUAAAACUCGACACACGUUUUAAAGUCCGAGACGCGGGAGUCCGAACCGGAGAGAGAGCCCACCCUAGUGCACAUGCUAAUGGGGAGAGGGGAGAGACGAAAAUACCGUCAUUAGGCGGAAGAGGAGAGAAGUAUGUUCGACGCGUACCGUCGAGUGGUGUCCGAAGAGUUCCGAUAAGUCGACUUUUCCUUGGUGAAUAAUUCGCCACUCGCCCGGGCUCAACUCUGUUUUCUGCCGGUCCACUGUGGCGCCGUGAAGGAAGUCGUCGUUUUCAUCGCUGCCGCCUUCCUCGCGUUCUCCGUCAUCCGGCGAGCCGAGCUUCGAAGCUGGAGCCGCUGCGAAACCAUCUGACGCCCCCUUCUCGUUCCGCAACCCUUGGGUGAUUCGGCUCUUCGCUUUCGCCUUUUUCGCCAUCUUCUUCAAGUCUUUCCGUGUUAUGACUGAAUGCACAAGGAGCACAAAUGUGACCUUCGGCUGUUACAAGGGAAGGAGGCCGGAAGGCAGGCAAAACGAGACAUGGCGGGCUUUCUUAGUCAUCAGCCCGAUACAGGCAAGGCUGCCGUCGUGAAACACGACUCAUUCUUGUAGAAAGCACACCGUCUCUCUCGUCGACUGACCUUCUUCAACUGCAUCGUCGGCACUCUGUUUUUUCAGCCGCCUGUCUUCCAGCUCUUUCUUUCGCUGCUCCCAGAACUUGCGCUUGUCCUUGAUGAUGUCCUCUCGGAUUGACAUCAACCCCGGCAAGUCGCCCUUGCAUUUCGCCUUCUGGAGGACUUGAAAGUCUGGGGGUGAAGUAAGAAAGAACACACGAAAACGUGCAGCUAUGAGACAAAAGGACACCCAGAAGGCGGUCAACUGGGUCCAAACAACGAGAGCUGAUGCGGGAGUUCGGCGUGGCAACGGAGCGGACUUAGGACCAUAUCCGAAUUGAAAAGAGCACGGCAGGCCCUCUGGAGCCUUUAUCACGAACUGGGGAGGAUUUCGUGCAUGCCUGCGCACCAUGAACCUGUAAAAUACAAGAGAUACUGUAUCACAUAGCUGCAAGUGCGAAGCCAGGUCAGAUCCUUAAAUCGGCUGAUGACUAGUGUCCUAACAUCUCACACGCGCAUGCAGUGGAGAUUUUCAGAGUCGUGAAAUCGUGAAGCACGACACCCUGUCGAAGAUGCCACUGCCUUCUUAUGUCCUGUCCACAAAGCACGGUUAGCUUCAGAUGCUGACAGCGCACACUCUCGCUGCUGAUCCUUUUUUACCGGGGUGAAUCCGCUCGCCACCUUUGAGGUAGCAGGAGUUGACCUUGUCCGUGCAACUCUCAAUCAGAACCCGCAGAAGAGUCGGCUGCCCUGAGAGAUUCCGUUCGAGACACCACAACGGUCCCUUCCGUGCCACGGAUGCGCAGAUCGAAGCGUAGAGACAGGGGAACGAAAAACAGAGAGUCGCUGCGGUGGUCCUUUUGCCAGACCGGCAGAGCUGUCCCUCGCGGUACAGUGUGAACGGCUCGUGGCGUGCCGGAAAAAGAAAUGCGCAAUGUGAACCGUGGAGCAACUGAAGCUCUCUGACCUGGAGGAAAAGGUGUCUUGUGUGAGGGCGCGGCGAAGCGACCCCGUUGUGCUUUUUUCCUGUUCAUGUUCGGUGACUUACUAUGGCAUUGUCCGAAGGUAUUGGUGCUGACGCACACGUCAAAUGUGAGACACGCAGCGCCAUCUGCCACAGACAGGAUUCCGCACACGCCCCAGCAGAUCUGUGUGUUGAGAGUGGCAUCGGGUAUAGGGCUGCGCCUGUGCACUCCCUAACCGAGCAUUCACCCGAUGUUGAAUGUCUGCGCACGCGUCAAGCGACACAAAUUUCCUUUUUAACAAGGGCCGUGCGCGAGACGCACGUUCGCGCCUUGCACCUGGCACUGGUUUGUUGUGUCUGUGUUGAC
rnacentral:lncRNA from 1 species